GAUGAACGCUGGCGGCGUGCCUAAUACAUGCAAGUCGAGCGAACAGACGAGGAGCUUGCUCCUCUGACGUUAGCGGCGGACGGGUGAGUAACACGUGGAUAACCUACCUAUAAGACUGGGAUAACUUCGGGAAACCGGAGCUAAUACCGGAUAAUAUAUUGAACCGCAUGGUUCAAUAGUGAAAGACGGUUUUGCUGUCACUUAUAGAUGGAUCCGCGCCGCAUUAGCUAGUUGGUAAGGUAACUGCUUACCAAGGCAACGAUGCGUAGCCGACCUGAGAGGGUGAUCGGCCACACUGGAACUGAGACACGGUCCAGACUCCUACGGGAGGCAGCAGUAGGGAAUCUUCCGCAAUGGGCGAAAGCCUGACGGAGCAACGCCGCGUGAGUGAUGAAGGUCUUCGGAUCGUAAAACUCUGUUAUUAGGGAAGAACAAAUGUGUAAGUAACUAUGCACGUCUUGACGGUACCUAAUCAGAAAGCCACGGCUAACUACGUG
rnacentral:rRNA from 1 species